rnacentral:rRNA from 1 species
UACGAAGGGGGCUAGCGUUGCUCGGAAUUACUGGGCGUAAAGCGCACGUAGGCGGCUUUCUAAGUCGGGGGUGAAAUCCUGGAGCUCAACUCCAGAACUGCCUUCGAUACUGGAAAGCUCGAGUCCGGGAGAGGUGAGUGGAACUGCGAGUGUAGAGGUGAAAUUCGUAGAUAUUCGCAAGAACACCAGUGGCGAAGGCGGCAUCCUGGACCGAGAUUGACGCUGAGGAGCGAAAGCUAGGGGAGCAAACGGG